rnacentral:rRNA from 1 species
AUUGAACGCUGGCGGCAGGCCUAACACAUGCAAGUCGAACGCGUGGCGGACGGGUGAGUAAUGUCUGGGAAACUGCCUGAUGGAGGGGGAUACCUACUGGAAACGGUAGCUAAUACCGCAUACCAUCGGAUGUGCCCCGAUGGGAUUAGCUAGUAGGUGGGGUAAAGGCUCACCUAGGCGACGAUCCCUAGCUGGUCUGAGAGGAUGACCAGCCACACGGGAACUGAGACACGGUCCAGACUCCUACGGGAGGCAGCAGUGGGGAAUAUUGGACAAUGGGCGCAAGCCUGAUGCAGCCAUGCCGCGUGUAUGAAGAAGGCCUGCGGGUUGUAAAGUACUUUCAGCGGGGAGGCGUGACCAGCAGAAGAAGGACCGGCUAACUCCGUACCAGCCGCCGCGGUAAUUC